rnacentral:rRNA from 1 species
AUUGAACGCUGGCGGCAUGCCUAACACAUGCAAGUCGAACGGUAACGCGAGGAGCUUGCUCCUUGGCGACGAGUGGCGGACGGGUGAGUAAUGCUUGGGAAUCUACCCAGUAGCGGGGGACAACAUUCGGAAACGGAUGCUAAUACCGCAUACGCGCUACGGUGGAAAGCGGGGGAUCUUCGGACCUCGCGCUAUUGGAUGAGCCCAAGUCGGAUUAGCUUGUUGGUAGGGUAAUGGCCUACCAAGGCGACGAUCCGUAGCUGGUCUGAGAGGACGAUCAGCCACACUGGGACUGAGACACGGCCCAGACUCCUACGGGAGGCAGCAGUGGGGAAUAUUGGACAAUGGGCGCAAGCCUGAUCCAGCAAUGCCGCGUGUGUGAAGAAGGCCUGCGGGUUGUAAAGCACUUUCAGUAGAGAAGAAAAGCCUAGGGUUAAUACCCCUGAGUCUUGACGUAACCUACAGAAGAAGCACCGGCUAACUCCGUG